rnacentral:rRNA from 1 species
UACGGAGGGUGCAAGCGUUGUUCGGAUUUACUGGGCGUAAAGCGCGUGUAGGUGGUGGGACAAGUCUGCUGUGAAAGCGCCUGGCUUAACCGGGCGAGGUCGGCGGAAACUGUCCGACUCGAGGACGGUAGAGGGGGGGUGGAAUUCCCGGUGUAGUGGUGAAAUGCGUAGAGAUCGGGAGGAACACCUGUGGCGAAGGCGGCCCCCUGGGCCGGCCCUGACACUGAGACGCGAAGGCGUGGGGGAGCGAACGGG